UACUCAAAAUGGCGUUCAAGAAUCAAGAGGAGUAGAACAAUAGCCUACGUGAGUAGAAGUCAAGAAUCGUCAAAAUCUGGAAAAUCUUGGUCAAAAAGAAAACGCCAAAACGGUGAUGCAUAUCCACAAUGUAUCGUGGAAGAAAUAAUAAGAGAAGAAAUAGGUGGUUUACUCAGCGACAGUUUCCUUCAAUGAUUUCACCACCUCUUUAAGCAUCUCGUUCUCCUGAACCACCUCUUCAAAACCCUGCACUACGGCACUAAGAUUCUGGGUCCGUGCGAAAUCUAGAAAAUGUGUUGUCGUUGUCACCGGGAAAUGUCCAGAAAAUAUGGAAAUGAAGGUUCUGAGAGCUCCAGUGAUUGCUGCUGUUCAUUCGCCUGCUAGCCUGGCUGCUAGAUAAUAUCAACAAAAUCUUAAAAAAAAAAAGAUCUCUUUAUCUGUUGGCUAGGGUUCUGUCACCUGGAUUUAAUCUUUUUACAAGCGUUUUCCGUUUAGGUUUCCAUCUCUCAUAUUGGUCAUACAGAAGCAGUCAACACUCAAGUUCAACGGCGUACAACCGUUCAACAUUGUCCCACGCCUUGCUGGUGCCAUUGAAAACUCGAAUCGCCCAGAUGUGUUCCCUCACAGUCCAGUGCUGUUAGUAGAAGAGUUGAAACUGACAUCGCGAGGAUCCUUCUUCUCGACACCAGCAAACACCUUCUUGCUAGAAAACAUGACAGAGCACUGACUCGGAUGCCUGACUCUCGGCAGCAGCAGCCAACUCAACGGGGGAACAUGAUGAUAAUUUCCAGAAUUCGACAAGAAGACGCAGCACACAAGAUUGGUGAUACUGAAAACAUUUGUUUUUGUAUACUACUACACAAAGUUCGGAUGAAUUUGGAGUCAUCAGCUUCCUGAAAAUUGUGUUUCAAAAAUAGCAUUUCCAUCGAUGAAGAUUAAUUUCAUUUUGGUUAUAUUCCUAAUUGUUCCCGUAUUUGUUGUCCAAUGUGACAUGUUGCAGCCUAUGCUGGUGAAAGUUUUUCUAUUUUGUUCAAUUGUUUUUGUGUUUUAUUGGUGAUACGUUAAGAAGGAAAAAAAAAAGAAAUAUGGGGAGGUUUAUGUAAACCAAAUAAAACACACUUUCGGGAUUUUGAAAGUAACGAGGGGGGAGAUUUAUCAGAUGAUAAAAUUUUUCUUUCUCUAUAUUAUAACAUACACUAUAAAUACCACAUCUGUUUCAAAAAUAUUUAUCUUUUGAAAUAACUACGAAUCUACGUCUACACAAAUUAUCAAUGUUCAAAUCCAACUAUCUCUCUUCGGUUUUCAAACAAUAUAAGAGCAGCGAAGGAUCAAAUCUUACAUUUUCCUAAAUUAGAACUCAAAUGGUGGUCACCAAAACAAAUUUAAUGGUAGCAUUGUCUUGCAGUUGUCUUCAAAACAUCAUAGAGCUAGAUCUGGGGAAGGUAGCAAUAUUAGCAAUAUUUUAGAGAUUUAUUACUACAACUUGAGAGCAAAAAGUUAACCUGAAAUUUAAUACAUAUAAAAUGCCACAGUAAUAAUUUUAAAUGCUGGAUAAAAUAAGUACUUUACAAAUAGAAACAAUAAAAAUUUGGCUUUGAAAGACAGCUUGCACUAUUGCAAUUUACCGUUUGAUCUGUUUUCACAAGCACUUAGGCAGCACAUAGGUCACACAAAUACUUCAGCUGAAAUUUUCUGAAAACAUUAAGCGAUUUAAGCCAAGAAUGCAAAAAGAUAAUGUGAUAAUAAAAUGAUAAUAAAUGUGUGCUUAAAUAUACCUCAAAAUCCUAA